rnacentral:rRNA from 1 species
AUUGAACGCUGGCGGCAUGCCUUACACAUGCAAGCCGAACGGCAGCACGGGAGCAAUCCUGGUGGCGAGUGGCGAACGGGUGAGUAAUGUAUCGGAACGUGCCCAGUCGUGGGGGAUAACGUAGCGAAAGCUACGCUAAUACCGCAUACGAUCUAUGGAUGAAAGCGGGGGACCGUAAGGCCUCGCGCGAUUGGAGCGGCCGAUAUCAGAUUAGGUAGUUGGUGGGGUAAAGGCCUACCAAGCCGACGAUCUGUAGCUGGUAUGAGAGGACGACCAGCCACACUGGGACGGAGACACGGCCCAGACUCCUGCGGGAGGCAGCAGUGGGGAAUUUUGGACAAUGGGCGCAAGCCUGAUCCAGCAAUGCCGCGUGCAGGAUGAAGGCCUUCGGGUUGUAAACUGCUUUUGUACGGAGCGAGAAGGCUCUCUCUAAUACAGGGGGCUCAUGACGGUACCGUAAGAAUAAGCACCGGCUAACUACGUGCCAGCCGCCGCAGUAAAAC